UACGUAGGGUGCAAGCGUUGUCCGGAUUUAUUGGGCGUAAAGAGCUCGUAGGCGGUCUGUCGCGUCGGAUGUGAAAACCCAGGGCUCAACCCUGGGCCUGCAUUCGAUACGGGCAGACUAGAGUAUGGCAGGGGAGACUGGAAUUCCUGGUGUAGCGGUGAAAUGCGCAGAUAUCAGGAGGAACACCGGUGGCGAAGGCGGGUCUCUGGCCAAAACUGACGCUGAGGAGCGAAAGCGUGGGGAGCGAACAGG
rnacentral:rRNA from 1 species